rnacentral:pre_miRNA from 1 species
GAGAAGAGGGAAAGGGAGAUUGGAGCUGCUGGAAGUUUUAGGAAUGGGCUGUUUGGGAAGAARGAAAAUUACAAGAAUAAUUGUCUUGUGGGGUUUCUUCCCAAGCCCGCCCAUUCCUAUGAUUUCCAGCUGUUCCUCCCUUUCCCUUGUAUCUC